UCUGAGAAUCGGACAGCAUCUAUUUUUCAUUCCCAUAAGUUAUAAGGGGGAGAAAUUAUGGGGGUUAAUACCAUAUAUGGCAACACAAAGUUUGCGGUGUCAGCUAGUAAUUGUAAUAAAAAUCUA